rnacentral:rRNA from 1 species
UGGGGAAUUUUGCACAAUGGGGGAAACCCUGAUGCAGCGACGCCGCGUGAUUUAGAAGGCCUUCGGGUUGUAAAAAUCUUUUCUAUGGGAAGAAAAUGACAGUACCAUAGGAAUAAGGACCGGCUAAUUACGUGCCAGCAGCCGCGGUAAUACGUAAGGUCCGAGCGUUGUCCGGAAUCAUUGGGCGUAAAGGGUACGUAGGCGGGUAAGCAAGUUAGAAGUGAAAUCCUGUAGCUCAACUACAGUAAGCUUUUAAAACUGCUCAUCUUGAGAUAUGGAAGGGAAAGUGGAAUUCCUAGUGUAGCGGUGAAAUGCGCAGAUAUUAGGAGGAAUACCGGUGGCGAAGGCGGCUCUCUGGUCUGUAACUGACGCUGAGGCUCGAAAGCGUGGGGAGCGAACAGG